UACCUUUUGUAUCAGGGUUGAUUAAAAAAAUUUUAAUUAAUUAAAUAUCUCGAAAUUAAAAGAGUUAAAUAUAUAAAAUUUUUUUUAUGGAAUUAAAAUUAUAAAUAUAUAUUUAGAGAUUAAAUGUUAUUCAAUUUUAAUGAUAUCUAGUUUUUUUUGAAUUAAAUUUAAUUUAUAUAUUUUAAAAAAAUAAAAUUUAAUUAAAAAUUUUAUUUUUUAAAAUAUAAAUAAUUUAUGGGAUAAACUAUAAAUUAAUUAUAUAAUAAUUUAAUUUUAUAAUUAAAAAAAUUAAUUUUAAAAUUUAAAAUAUUUAAUAAGUAUUUAAUAAUUUAUUUAUAAAUUUUUAAAGAAAUUUAUAUAAAAAUUAAAAAAAAAAUAAUUUUAAUAAAAUAAAUUAUAUUAAAAUGAUUAAAUUAGUAAUUUAAAUUGUUUAAAUUAAUUUAAAAAUAAAUAUAUUUUUAAGGAACUAAGCAAAUUUAUUAUAUUCACCUGUUUAACAAAAACAUGUCUUUUUGAUUUUAAUAUAAAGUCAGUUCUGCUCAAUGAGUAAUUAAAUAGCUGCAGUAUAUUGACUGUACAAAGGUAGCAUAAUCAUUUGUCUUUUAAUUGAAGGCUAGAAUGAAUGAAUCAAUGAAAUAUAAACUGUCUCAAUUUUAUUAAAUAAAUUUAAAUUUUAAGUUAAAAUGCUUAAUUUAAUUUAAGGGACGAUAAGACCCUAUAGAAUUUUAUAUAUUCUAUAAUUUUUUAAAAUUAUAUAAUAUAUUUAGUUGGGAGGAUUUUUAAAUUUAAUUAACUUUAAUAUGAAAAAAUAUUGAUUAAUAAAAAAUAAAUGAUGUAUAUUUAAUAAUAAUUAGAAUAAAUUACCUUAGGGAUAACAGCGUAAUAUUUUUGAAAAGAUCAAAUUGAAAAAAAUGUUUGCGACCUCGAUGUUGAAUUAAAAUAAAUUAUAAAUGCAGGAGUUUAUAGAUUUAGUCUGUUCGACUAUUAAAAUUUUACAUGAUUUGAGUUCAGAUCGACGUGAGUCAGAUUGGAUUCUAUCUUUAAAAAAAAUUAAAAUUUUUGUACGAGAGGACU
rnacentral:rRNA from 1 species